UAUUAUUGCUCUUUUACCAUAAUUUGUUAGGUUAAUUGCUAUAUUAAUGCAAGUUUAGCCACAAGUGAACAACCAACUCGAGUCAAAUCCAACCCCAAACUCUGUUUUUGCCAAAACUCAAUCACUGGUUACUUUUUGGAGCUGAAAAUAAAAGGAGUUGUUUGGUCAACUGUUUCCGGCAAAUUUCCGUUGUAGAAACAGUCGGUUUUUGAUCGCUUUCCGAUGGGUUUCAACGGUGGAGCUCGGGAUUACCAUUUUCGUGUUGCCUGAGCUCCGGUGAGCUUCAUUGGAGAUUGAAAUGGUGAUGAGAGCUACAAUUCCGAUGAUAACGUCACCGAAAAAUUGAGGACUGAUUUUUGUUUUUCUCUUGUUUCUCCCAAAUUUUCUCACUGUGUUAACUUAUCUAUCUCCCUCUCUAAUUUCUCUAAAUCAACCCCCAACUUUCGAUCAAUUCUCA
rnacentral:lncRNA from 1 species